UGAAUCUGUCAGCAAUUGUUUUUCUAUUUGGAUGCCUUUGUCAAAUUUCCAUUGUGAUGUCCAAAUUUGACAUAGUCAGGCCUCCUGAUUGUUCGAAAUAUAAUCAGUCAUAUGCUCGCAAUUUUACUUUGAUUCUGAAAAAGGACAUAAUGAACAUAGAGUUGGACUUAAUAAGUCCGUUAAUCACGGGAUUGCGUGUACAUUUGGAUUUCUACACCCGCAAAGAUGAUUUUAAAACAUACCAGAGUUUCUAUCAAUACUCCUUCGAUCUGUGUUCUAUGAUGGGUAAUCACAAGAAUAAUAUGUUUAAGCGCUGGUUCAUAUCAUUCUUUUCGUUUGGUAAUUUUAAGUCGUAUUGUCCCAUUCCACCAGAUCAUUACUAUUUAUAGAUCAAUGUUUGACGUUCUAAGGACUCUAGAAUGUGAUAAGUACAACUCUUCAUACAUUCGCAAUUUAUCUGUAAGCCUCACGAAUGCCCAAAUGAAUGUAGACUUUAACUUAAUCAGACCGUUAGUUUCGGAAGUACGCGCCAAUAUGGAUUUCUAUAACCGCAAGGAAAAUUCAAAGGCAUAUCAGAAAUUCUACAAAUACUCGAUUGACGCUUGCUCCAUAAUGAGAAAUUUAAGGAGUAGUAUAUUCAAGCGUUGGUUUUCAACAUUGUUCACCCAUGGGAACUUUAGGCCGGAUUGUCCAGUUCCACCAAAUCAUUACUAUGUAAAAAAUUAUAACAUCAAAGAUCUUCACAUUCCCUCAUUUCUGAUUCCUGGCUUUUACCGUUUCGCAUUUAAUAUAUUUCAACUUAAGGAUGAGGGAAAACAUAACGAUUUUCUAAUUUCUUGUUCCAUAGAAAUAAAAAUGAAAUAACUGAAAACACAUGAUACCAAUUCUUCUCGAAAAUUGUA